rnacentral:rRNA from 1 species
GACGAACGCUGGCGGCGUGCCUAAUACAUGCAAGUAGAACGCAGUUUCGAACGGGUGAGUAACGCGUAGGUAACUGCCUCAUAGCGGGGGAUAACUAUUUGAAACGAUAGCUAAUACCGCAUACUGUGAGAUGGACCUGCGUUGUAUUAGCUAGUUGGUGAGGUAAAGGCUCACCAAGGCGCCGAUACAUAGCCUACCUGAGAGGGUGAACGGCCAAACUGGGAAUGAGGAACGGCCCAGAAUCCCAACGGAGGCAGCAGGAGGGAAUCUUCGGACAUGGACGGAAGUCUGACCGAGGAACGCCGCGUGAGUGAAGAAGGUUUUCGGAUCGUAAAGCUCUGUUGUUAGAGAAGCGGUAACUAAACAGAAAGGGACGGCUAACUACGUGCCAGCCGCCGCGGUAAUUC